UGGGGAAUAUUGGACAAUGGGGGAAACCCUGAUCCAGCAAUGCCGCGUGUGUGAAGAAGGUUUUCGGAUUGUAAAGCACUUUCGGCGGGGACGAUGAUGACGGUACCCGCAGAAGAAGCCCCGGCUAACUUCGUGCCAGCAGCCGCGGUAAUACGAAGGGGGCUAGCGUUGCUCGGAAUGACUGGGCGUAAAGGGCGUGUAGGCGGUUUGUACAGUCAGAUGUGAAAUCCCCGGGCUUAACCUGGGAGCUGCAUUUGAUACGUGCAGACUAGAGUAUGAGAGAGGGUUGUGGAAUUCUCAGUGUAGAGGUGAAAUUCGUAGAUAUUGGGAAGAACACCGGUGGCGAAGGCGGCAACCUGGCUCAUUACUGACGCUGAGGCGCGAAAGCGUGGGGAGCAAACA
rnacentral:rRNA from 1 species